UUUCGACCUGAGGUCAGGCAAGAACACCCGCUGAACUUAAGCAUAUCAAUAAGCGGAGGAAAAGAAACUAACUAGGA
rnacentral:rRNA from 1 species